CAGCCGCCGCGGUAAAACCAGCACCUCAAGUGGUCAGGAUGAUUAUUGGGCCUAAAGCAUCCGUAGCCUGUUCUGUAAGUUUUCGGUUAAAUCUAUGCGCUCAACGUAUAGGCUGCCGAAAAUACUGCAGAACUAGGGAGUGGGAGAGGUAGACGGUACUCGGUAGGAAGGGGUAAAAUCCUUUGAUCUAUUGAUGACCACCUGUGGCGAAGGCGGUCUACCAGAACACGUUCGACGGUGAGGGAUGAAAGCUGGGGGAGCAAACCGGAUUAGAUACCCGGGUAGUCCCAGCUGUAAACGAUGCAAACUCGAUGAUGCGUUGGCUUAUUGCUAGCGCAGUGUCGCAGGGAAGCCGUUAAGUUUGCCGCCUGGGAAGUACGUACGCAAGUAUGAAACUUAAAGGAAUUGGCGGGGGAGCAC
rnacentral:rRNA from 1 species